rnacentral:rRNA from 1 species
AUUGAACGCUGGCGGCAGGCUUAACACAUGCAAGUCGAGCGGGGGAAGGUAGCUUGCUACCGGACCUAGCGGCGGACGGGUGAGUAAUGCUCAGGAAUCUGCCUAUUAGUGGGGGACAACAUCUCGAAAGGGAUGCUAAUACCGCAUACGUCCUACGGGAGAAAGCAGGGGAUCUUCGGACCUUGCGCUAAUAGAUGAGCCUAAGUCGGAUUAGCUAGAUGGUGGGGUAAAGGCCUACCAAGGCGACGAUCUGUAGCGGGUCUGAGAGGAUGAUCCGCCACACUGGGACUGAGACGCGGCCCAGACUCCUACGGGAGGCAGCAGUGGGGAAUAUUGGACAAUGGGGGGAACCCUGAUCCAGCCAUGCCGCGUGUGUGAAGAAGGCCUUAUGGUUGUAAAGCACUUUAAGCGAGGAGGAGGCUACUUUAGUUAAUACCUAGAGAUAGUGGACGUUACUCGCAGAAUAAGCACCGGCUAACUCUGUGCCAGCCGCCGCAGUAA